UACGGGGGGGGGCAAGCGUUGUUCGGAAUUACUGGGCGUAAAGGGCUCGUAGGCGGCCAACUAAGUCGGACGUGAAAUCCCUCGGCUUAACCGGGGAACUGCGUCCGAUACUGGGUGGCUUGAGUUCGGGAGAGGGAUGCGGAAUUCCAGGUGUAGCGGUGAAAUGCGUAGAUAUCAGGAGGAACACCUGCGGUGUAGACGGCUUACUGGACCAUAACUGACGCUGAGGCACGAAAGCGUGGGUAGCAAACAGG
rnacentral:rRNA from 1 species